GCGGACUAGGGAACCUGCACAGGCGGUCCUUUCGCAGGUGCCUCGCUUCCUAGAGAGCCCCAGCUUUUCCUUCUGCAAAAUGGGCCACCAACGCCUACAAAGAACCCUGCUGCCCCGGGCCGAUCCUCAAAAGCCUCAGGUUUUCAAAGGAGUUCUCUCUGCUGGCCGUUCUGCCUUGUCUAGCUACCACAGACCCCCUCCCCGAGCAAGGUCAUUUUCCUCCCAGUUGAGGACUGCAGUAACAGAAUGCUGCAAACCAAAUGCUGGAAGCAGAAAUGUGUGCACUUGAAACGCUGAAGCUGGAAGUCCACAGAGGCAGCUGAGCACAGGACCUCGCUGCUUCUGAGACACAGGAAGAGACUCCUUCACCUUCUCCCAGCUUCUGGUGGGAUCGCACACCUUGGCUGGCCUGGCUAGCCGUUGUGACCUCCUGGGCUCUGCCUCCAUUGUCACACAGAAAGCUCCCCACCCUGCCCCGGGCUCUGUUCUAUGUCUCUUCUUUUCCCACAAAGGCACCUUUCACCCUGGGUAGAGGACCCAACUCUACCAAUGCGACCUCAUCUUAAAUAAUUUAAAUAACUCUAUAUUCAGUUCUAUUCUUUCCCACGAGGCCCUGUGCUGAGGUGCUGGGAACUAGUUCCUCUAGCAUAGCCUUGGUUGGGGUGCUAACUCUGCAGCACUCCUUACCCACCUGUCUCUACAGAGUUCAGGGCCAUGGCUUGACCUCUCACCUACAUCCUCAGUUCUUAGAGAACUGGAGGAAAACACAACAUUGUUUGGUUUUGCGCAGAGUUGAAUGCAGGCAAUGACCUCUGAGCUCUUAAUUCGUGGAAGCGGAAGACAGAUGGCAAUUGCAGGGCACAGUAUGAUUUAGCUCCUAACUUCAUAAACUCUGAGUCCCAGGUGGAGCCAUCAUGGAAGUCCCCUGUGUGGCACCAACCCCCACACACUUGACACCUGCUGUCUACCUUUCGCACCUGGUCUUCCCCCCACCCCAAAGCUGAGGACCAAACCCAUAGCCUUGUGCUUGCUAGGCAAGCACUCUACCACUGAGCUAAGUCCUCAACCCCAACACCUGGUCUUUUACCGAGCACAUUUGGGGCUGGCUGGAAUGGGUCCAGAUACUCUGCGCACAGCCGUGGUCACUGCUGAGGUCUUACACACUCUGGCAUUUACCCAGUGUAAGCCAACGCACGGUGGCA